GGGACGAUGGCGCAGUUGGGAGCGCGUUCGACUGAAGUUCAACUUCAAUCAUUAGCCAUUUCAGGUACAUCGAGAGGUCGUCGGUUCAAACCCGGCUCGUCCCA
rnacentral:tRNA from 1 species